rnacentral:rRNA from 1 species
UACGUAGGGUGCGAGCGUUGUCCGGAAUUACUGGGCGUAAAGAGCUCGUAGGUGGUUUGUCGCGUUGUUCGUGAAAACUCACAGCUUAACUGUGGGCGUGCGGGCGAUACGGGCAGACUGGAGUACUGCAGGGGAGACUGGAAUCCCUGGUGUAGCGGUGGAAUGCGCAGAUAUCAGGAGGAACACCGGUGGCGAAGGCGGGUCUCUGGGCAGUAACUGACGCUGAGGAGCGAAAGCGUGGGGAGCGAACAGG